ACCUCACAGACUCGCACUGCUCUCUCUCUCUCUCUCUCUCUCGAUCUGUGGUAUCCGCGACUUCAUCUUCACAGACCAUGCAAAGACAGUCUCUAGGUUCGCCAGGUUCGAAGCACCACCACGGCCAUGGCGCAGUGGGACUUGGAUCGAAGGAUGAAGCUCUCGCAGUCGAAGAUCUGAAGAGAUUCGAAGGGACCUCGUCUCUCCCCGACGAGGAAGAGCGCAAGCCUCAGAAGCAUCUCCGCUCGCCUCCAUCUCCUCCUCACAAGCUUGUCCACCUCAUCCCUCUCCUCACUUUUAUCUGCUUCUUCGUCCUCUACCUUUGCUCGCACGAUCCCUCCCGAUCAGAUUUGGCUAAUUUCAAUGGAUUCAAGCGAUCGGCGAUGGAUUUAGAUUCAACGGAGACGCGGAUAGGCGAGUUCGGACGAUUCGUAGAGUUGGACAAAGGCGAUGUAGUAGCGAUUCGAAGCCUCAGGAAGCUGCAACAAAUCGGCGGAGAGCCUCCAAUAUUUCGCCUGCACAGAAAACUCGGCGAUUUCUAGGCCGCAUUCUAGGCUUCUCUGUUCCUCUAUGCUAUUCUUUCCAUUCCUCCUCCGCGCUGGCACGCAGACUCCGCGAGGAACCGCACGGGCGUCAGAGUGCAGUAAGCUAACGUGCGCUUGGUGGGGGAGGGGGGUGGGAGCUCAGAAUAGCAGAGAACAGGAGAGGAUGCGCAGGGACUGGGAGGCAGGGAAGGGGGAGCGUUGGAUUCCAGCUGGUGGCUGGUGGCUGGUCAGUGGACGCCGUGAGUGCACAUCGGGAGGAGCGGUUGGGUACCAGCUGGAAAAGUACUUUUUUCUUAAUAAUGGUAAAUAAUAAUUAAUAAUGAUCUGGAAUCUGGUGCUAUCAGCCUGUUCCCUCGUGCCUGCCCAGUGCCAGAGUGGCGUCUUUCUCUUCCCAUUAACUGCCGUUUAAUGAGACAAUGAUCCCAUCACCGAUCGAUGCGUGCUUUUUGCGUGAUGUGUGGUCCUGCGGAGCUUUGAAAAAUAUAAACAAGCCAGCAAAUUAUUCGGAGCAAGGUCCGAGAAUGCCAGGGAGUCAUGCUCAAAUUUAUUAAUCCUGUACAACCUCAAGCCGAAUUCAAAUUGCACUUCAAUAAUUUUGCUCAGAUUUCUUAAUCAUACAAAUAAAUAUUUUUAUGAGUCCUUAUGGACUAAAUUAUCAAGAUUUAGUGCAAUUGAUUAAAAAAUUAAAUGUUUUUUAAGUAAUUUCGGAAGUCGUGUGUAUGUAGUGAAAAAUAUUAUCCUUCUGAUAAGUAUUUUUAUUGUUAUUUAAAAUUAAUUGUAUUAGUAAAUAUUUUUACUUA